rnacentral:sRNA from 1 species
UUGGCACAAUUUACGCAGAACCUAGAACUGCGAAAGUGGCAGGAGUGUCCCAUAGAAGCAUGAGGCGCUAUCUUGUGUGAAUCAUCGUGUAUGUAAACCAUCUGGACACAGCGAUGUGAAUGGGUGGGUGGCUUAAGCGACUUCUGCAAGAUACAUAGAGUAAACAAAUUUAGGCAAAGACUGUUAGGAAUAGCGCUCCUAGCAGUUUUU